rnacentral:lncRNA from 1 species
AAGUACAUCUGAUAGCCAAUAAUGUCCAUCGGCUACCCAAGCAUGAAAAGAAAAGUCACAUGAACGAAAACCAUCGAUAUGAGCUAUAAAUGUAUACAAUUGAAUCUUUAAUUAUCUCAAUUAAGUUAUUUACUCUUGUGAAAAAUCAACACGUUUGAAACCAUUCUAUGCUCCUAUGUUGCAAUAACCCUUUCAAAAGUAAUGUGACAUUCGUUGAUAGAGGACGUCCGUCGAACCACUUUUGCAUAAAAGUUUAUAGCCCUUAGGAAAAAAUUCAGUUUAUUACCCUGAACUUUAGGUGUAAAAUCAGUUUGAUACCUCAUCUUUUUUUUAAUCAGUUUCAUACCUAAACUUUCAAAAUGACAUCAAUCUUGACCAAAAUGACUAAAAUAGUCCUGGUUAAUCUUUUUACCCUCUCUCUCUCUCNNNNNNNNNNNNNNNNNNNNACAUGACCGGCGCUGGCAUCCACCCCUACCACCAGCAAUGGGCCCCGGAGGCAGCCCCUCCUCCUCCCCCGGCCGUCGCCGCUGCCAUUCUUAACUCUAAGAGGGUAAAAAGAUUAACCAGGGCUAUUUUAGUCAUUUUAGUCGAGAUUGAUGUCAUUUUAAAAGUUUAGGUAUGAAACUGAUUAGAAAAAAAAGAUGAGGUAUCAAACUGAUUUUAGACCUAAAGUUCAUGGUAGUAAAGUGAAAUUAUCUCUAGCCCUUAUCAUGUUCCAUUGCAUUAUAGUGAAGUAAUGAACUAACUAUAAUAGAGAUUCAAAAUAAUGUGGUUUUGAAACUAAAGCUUCAACAAAAGCAAAGGGUGUGCAUCUCCCUCAUGAAUCCUCAAAAAAUAAUCGAGAGGUCUGUUGGGGAUUUUUCAUUAUUGGGGGCGUGACAGGACAUAGAAUGGUACUAGGUUGUUGGCCACUAGUGUGCACGUCGUAUCUUCCCCUCACCAAUUUUCUAAUACUUCAAAAUGGUUGGCAGCCCCAAGUUUGUUGGCCACAUAAGUUCGAUGAUUGCCCCAUACAUUUUCAGUGGAGUUUGUUGGCCAAAUUAUUGUUAUUUAUUUAUUUAUUUUUAAACGUGGUUUUUAAAACUAUGAUUUACUUAGCUUUCUUAAUUUUAUUCUG